CAGCGCCACGAGUGGUAACCACGUUUAUUGGGCCUAAAGCGUCCGUAGCCGGUUUGAUAAAUCUUUUGUGAAAUUGUACAGCUUAACUGUACAGCGUGCAAGAGACACUGUCAAACUUGAGACCGGGAGGAGUCAGAAGUAUUCCAGAGGGAGCGGUAAAAUGUUAUAAUCUCUGGAGGACUACCUGUGGCGAAGGCAUCUGACCAGAACGGAUCUGACGGUGAGGGACGAAAGCUAGGGGAGCGAACCGGAUUAGAGACCCGAGUAGUCC
rnacentral:rRNA from 1 species